AAACAAAAUAGCACUUUGAUUGACAAGCCAACCCAUGAAUGCAAGCAAUGAGUAACGGAUGGAAGCAGCCAAUGAAACGUCUCUGGAACAAACAGAGGAUGAAUGAUAGCUAUGCCCCUGAUGUGUCGUUGGGGCUUUGAGUGAUAAUCAUCUAGGGGUGAGUUGUGGUUGCAGCAGCCUUCAGGAAUCCUAAUUCCAGGAAUGUUUUCCUUGUUGACGGAGCGCUCGUCUUUCCAGGAACAUUCCCAGAAAGAGGGGUCACGUGUGCAUGAUAUGGUCUCAGUUCCACCAAUCCAUGGCCCAAACGAUGAAGUCACCCACAGCCAAAGAGGGAGCGGAAAGCGGUCUAAGGCCCACUGAAAGGAGAAGCUGAGCAAUAGGACCAUGCGUCAGGAUUACCUGGCCUGAUGACUCCUGUCUGUU